AGAGCGAACGCUGGCGGCAGGCCUAACACAUGCAAGUCGAGCGCCCCGCAAGGGGAGCGGCAGACGGGAGAGUAACACGUGGGAACGUACCCUUUGGUUCGGAACAACACAGGGAAACUUGUGCUAAUACCGGAUAAGCCCUUACGGGGAAAGAUUUAUCGCCAAAGGAUCGGCCCGCGUCUGAUUAGCUUGUUGGUGAGGUAACGGCUCACCAAGGCUACGAUCAGUAGCUGGUCUGAGAGGAUGAUCAGCCUCACUGGGACUGAGACACGGCCCAGACUCCUACGGGAGGCAGCAGUGGGGAAUAUUGGACAAUGGGCGCAAGCCUGAUCCAGCCAUGCCGCGUGGAUGAUGAAGGCCCUAGGGUUGUAAAGUCCUUUUAACGGGGAGAUAAUGACGGUACCCGUAGAAUAAGCCCCGGCUAACUUCGUGCCAGCAGCCGC
rnacentral:rRNA from 1 species